UCAGAUGCGAAAGCGUGGGGAGCAAACAGGAUUAGAUACCCUGGUAGUCCACGCCGUAAACGAUGUCUACUUGGAGGUUGUGGCCUUGAGCCGUGGCUUUCGGAGCUAACGCGUUAAGUAGACCGCCUGGGGAGUACGGUCGCAAGAUUAAAACUCAAAUGAAUUGACGGGGGCCCGCACAAGCGGUGGAGCAUGUGGUUUAAUUCGAUGCAACGCGAAGAACCUUACCUACUCUUGACAUCCAGAGAACUUUCCAGAGAUGGAUUGGUGCCUUCGGGAACUCUGAGACAGGUGCUGCAUGGCUGUCGUCAGCUCGUGUUGUGAAGUGUUGGGUUAAGUCCCGCAACGAGCGCAACCCUUAUCCUUGUUUGCCAGCGAGUAAUGUCGGGAACUCCAGGGAGACUGCCGGUGAUAAACCGGAGGAAAGUGGGGACAACGUCAAGUCAUCGUGGCCCUUACGAGUAGGGCUACACACGUGCUACAAUGGCGCAUACAGAGGGCAGCCAACUUGCGAAAGUGAGCGAAUCCCAAAAAGUGCGACGUAGUCCGGAUUGGAGUCUGCAACUCGACUCCAUGAAGUCGGAAUCGCUAGUAAUCGUGGAUCAGAAUGCCACGGUGAAUACGUUCCCGGGCCUUGUACACACCGCCCA
rnacentral:rRNA from 1 species